GCGCUGAGGAACUCCGCUCUGUUUGGGUUUCCCUGCAGAGACCUGCAGGAGCUACCGAGCUACCGGGCUAACGAGCUAACAAGCUAACAAGCUUACCCUCCUUCCGGCGGACUUUACCCUUCAUAGUUAACCGAAGGCUCGACAUUAAUGUCGUCUUCAGUAACUACGGAGCCUCGUUAUCCUAACAUUAGCCCGAUUUUCCCUUCCAGAAACCGGUUAAUCGGCGGGAUAUCAGCGGUGGCGCUAGCUGCGGUGCUAACAGGCUAGCGCAGUGAGGACUCGGCGAUUCCGCUCUUCUUUUCUCUUCACGACGAUUUUUGCUCAGAAAAGUGUUUUCCUUCCGCUUUUCACUCCAAACAGGUUGCAAAAGUGAGAAAAUCCCUCGUUUGCCUUCUUUCGGCGGAGGUUGUGAAGUCCUGCGAAGCGUAUUUCCAAACAAAGGCGGCACCAGGAUGGUCUGUGAGCUCCUGCUCUCCUCCGUGUGGCUGCUCUUCGUCGUGUUCUGGGUGGAGACCAUCAGCGUUUGGCUGUUUCUCUGUCUGUUCUAUCAGGACAGAGCCUUCUACCACUGGGGCGACGGCGUGUUUGCUGAUGAUCCUGGUCAGAUGCUCUACAUGUUGAGCAGAGUGGAACGUUCUGAACACACCCAGACCUGAGGAUGCGGGACAGCUGGGAACGUCAAUCAACAGACCAAAACGUUCCAGACAGCGGAGGGAUCACCGCGAUGGGGGUGAAAAUUGGCUUCCCUUCCACUACUGCUGUCUUUCAACAACCUGCACUGGGCUUGAAUGACGUGUCUUAAAGAUGCCCACGGCUGAGGAUGGAGCGUUUACGCUGAGCUUGAAGAGCGUCGACGGGCACGGUGAAUGUAGAAUCUGUCGUGGUGUUUUAUAAAAUGGGAACUCUGCCUACAUUUCUGUUUCCUGUCCCCUCCGAAUUGGACCAAAAAGGUCUCUGGGGGGACGUUUUCUCUUUUCUGGCGUGUUCUCGAAUCGUUGGGAUUGUUUGCUCAGCCGUCUUUCGAAGGCUGCCAGCUUUUGAUUUGUUAUUCUUGCAGUUUAGGGGCUGUGCAGGUUGACCUAGUGAAGGUGGGCUCCUGUAAUCUGUCCAGCCCCCGUGAUAAAGCGUUGUUUUUAUUCAUUAAAUCGUGUUAAGGUUCAGAACGGGGGGCUCUCGCCUGUAAUCUUAGCAACAACUUUAUAGCUUUAUAGCUGAUUGGAUUCCACCUAAAGUGGUUAAUCCGUAGUAAUGCUACACGUUUUCACUCACUUUGAGACUUUGAGUCUCAUUUUCACCUCCGAUCAGUUCGAAAUGGGGCCUUAAAUGGAAAAUUUGUUUUUUCUUUUUUCUUUAAAAUCGAAAAGCUUGAAACUAGGGCUGGACGAGUAAGUAAGACAUAUAUAAAAUGUAAAAACAUUAAAUGCCGCUUAUUGCGAUCGCCUUAAAUUAAAAACUCACUGGUGAAUCAAUAAUGUAACAUAGUUCAAUUUAGCCUUAUUUUGACCAAAAUAGUUUUGUUGCAUUACGUGAAUACAAAGGUGCCGCAUGGAACCAGAAAGAACCACUUGGGGUUCCCUGAAGAGCUUUUUUUUUAAUGGGACCAUAUUUGUAAAUAAAAUGUUUAAAAAGCCUAAAGGUUCUAUACCAAGUUUUUUUUUUUCCCUAGAACCACAUGUCUAAGCCAGGAACCAUUUAGGAGUCUUUAUUUUUAGGGGGGUACAGAACCUCGUCUGGAGCUGUGAUUGGUCAGGAUGCUCACUGCACACAAUAAAACGACCAACGAUUAUUUUCAUUGUUGAUUAAUCUGUUGAUUAUUUUCUUGAUUAAUUGAUCAGUUUGGUCUAUAAAAUGUCUGAAAAUGGUGAAAACGGUUUUGUUUUGUUUUUUUGUCUACACUACAAUGAUAUUCAGGUUGGUGUCACAGAGGAGUAAAGAAGCCAGAAAAUAUUCAAAUUUAAGAAGCAGGAAUCUGAAUUUUCACCUAAAUAGUUACUCAUACCAAUCAAUACCAACCAAUCAGUUCUCUUUGAAUUCUCUUUCAGCCGUUUGGGAAAGGGGUCCGAAGCACAACCCACGCUACAAAAUGUUCUUCUGUAUGUUGGGAGUGCAGUUACACGUUUCCACCAGAGAGGUCACCAAAUCCUCAAAACUUACAUAGUGCAGCUUUAACUCAGACGCCAGAUCAGAUUAUGGAGGGUAAUUCGUGCCAAAUUGAGCAGUCGCUACAGUGGAGAAAUGUGACAUGCAGUGCACAGGACAUCACUUUUCCACAGGUGACCUGCAGAAUAUGUGCCGUUGUUUUCGUCGCUUAACCUCUCUACUGGAAAACAGUACAUGAGGAUUUGCAUUUUAAAAACGAAACGCUGAAUACAUGUCAGAAUUCAAUACAGUUCGCCUUGAAACGUAAUAAAGGCAUGACUGUAUUACUUUCCAUUGUGCAGUACUUAAAACAAUGUUAAAUCAGUGCAGUGGAUCUUUUACUUUUUAUUUUGCCAUGUUUUCCAUGUGUCACUGCUUAAAUGCAGUCCCAUGUGUGCACUGCAUUUCACUGUUUUGGUUGCAUUUCAAUCAGGUGGAUACAUUCGAUGGAUAAAAUAGAAGUCAAGCUAUAUGAAAACAGUGUUGUGGGGGUUUUGCUUUUCAUUUUGCCACAUAUUCUGCACGUCACCAGUGGAAAAGUGAUGUGGAUGGCAUUUCACGUUUUUCUUCUGCGGCGAUUGCUCUUCAGUUUGGCACGAAUUCCUCUCUGUAUGAGAUAAAAACCUGGGUGGGCCAACAAAUCAGAACAUCACUGAUCAUAGAGAUCUAGUCCAGAGCGAGACGUCCUGACCUUCACAGACGGUGAGUUCAGUCAGGUGAAGGUAUCGGAGAUCUGUGUUUAACCCCUGACCGUAAAUGUCCAUUCUCCUUCAUUUCGAAAGAGAACUGAUGCUUUAGUUCUGGCAGAUCUGCUGUUAUGUACCUUUUUGUAUAUGUUCUGUUUAAAUAUAAGAGAAGUGAAUAUACGUUUAAACCCGUCAUGCGGUUCUCGAUGGCGUUUUUGUAACAAAGCUGUACAGUUGAUGAUACAUGAUUGUUAUUCAUGGUGAUAAUGCAACAGUGUUUGCACUGUUUCUGACUUUUGUUCUUUCUGAAUUUACUUCAUAAUUUUUUGUCUAAGCAAUAAAACCAACAUAUUUGGCAAAUGAAAUUC